UACGUAGGCAGCAAGCGUUGUUCGGAAUUACUGGGCGUAAAGAGUGUGUAGGCGGUUUUCUAAGUUUGGUGUGAAAUCUCCCGGCUUAACUGGGAGGGUGCGCCGAAAACUGGAAGGCUUGAGUGCCGGAGAGGAUAGCGGAAUUCCCGGUGUAGCGGUGAAAUGCGUAGAUAUCGGGGAGGAACACCUGUGGUGUAGACGGCUAUCUGGACGGCGAC
rnacentral:rRNA from 1 species